AGAGUUUGAUCCUGGCUCAGAUUGAACGCUGGCGGCAGGCCUAACACAUGCAAGUCGAACGGUAACAGGAAGCAGCUUGCUGCUUCGCUGACGAGUGGCGGACGGGUGAGUAAUGUCUGGGAAACUGCCCGAUGGAGGGGGAUAACUACUGGAAACGGUAGCUAAUACCGCAUAACGUCGCAAGACCAAAGAGGGGGACCUUCGGGCCUCUUACCAUCGGAUGUGCCCAGAUGGGAUUAGCUAGUUGGUGAGGUAACGGCUCACCAAGGCGACGAUCCUUAGCUGGUCUGAGAGGAUGACCAGCCACACUGGAACUGAGACACGGUCCAGACUCCUACGGGAGGCAGCAGUGGGGAAUAUUGCACAAUGGGCGCAAGCCUGAUGCAGCCAUGCCGCGUGUAUGAAGAAGGCCUUCGGGUUGUAAAGUACUUUCAGCGGGGAGGAAGGGGAUGUGGUUAAUAACCGCGUUCAUUGACGUUACCCGCAGAAGAAGCACCGGCUAACUCCGUGCCAGCAGCCGCGGUAAUA
rnacentral:rRNA from 1 species